CAGCAACUGUCUUCCAGGUCACCUUGCUCCAGCAAACAGAGGAAAAGAUAUUUAUGUCGCCAUCCCCCUGGCUUUUCUUCCUAACAGCUCUCCUACCUAAUAUUUAAGUACAGGCAGGUGCCAUUUAACAGAACGCUUGCAAGGAGGUGAGGGGAACAAUCAGCUUUCACCUUGAAACACGGCUCUCAAAAGAGAAAUCAUCGCUAUCACAGCAACAGGGAGCGUCUGUGAAGACAGUGGCUGAAAUGUGAAAUGAAGGCAACUGUGCAGGUUCACAGCGAGCAGGCGACAGGCCAGCUAAUGAAUCAACACCACACAUGGAGGAGGCCAGAGGUGUGGAGCAGAAGUGAUACACUGAGGACUCUCGCUUCAACAGGUGAUGAAUUCCUCAAACGACGACCCUGCCCCAUGGUGGAUGCAGUGGCCUUGAGAGGAAAACCUUUGCUUGGCCUUCGGCUAGGUUCCUGAUCCACUGUAGCAGGUUCUGGGUUGUGUAGUGAACUAAAUACGCUGGAGACAACAAGGCUGCUUUCAACGAGCUCACGUCCCUGAGGUGCCUGGCUUCUGCUGUGGCUGGUGACCAGACGCUGACACCGAAUGUUCCUCCUGGGCUACGAGGAAGCUGACAACUAGACAGUGGAAUGUCAAGUCCAUCUGUGAGCACCAGUGAGCCAUCAGCUCACCACCAAGGAGGCCUCCAUGAAUUUCCAGUCCCUGGUGGAAGCAAGCUCUCAUCCAGAACCCUAGAUGUAAGCCCUUUCUUCCUGUGGGCAAGAACACGAGUCACAGCCGCAGUUCCCGUUCAACGUUCAGAAUCUGAAACCACAGAUGGACACUUCUUUGGGAGCUUGAAGAUUCUUUUCCAACUGCAAUGACUUCGAGCACUGCUUGGACUGCCUGUUUGCCAAGAAUGACUUCACUUGCUACCUGGAACAGAAUGACCUGGAGAAAUAGGUGGAACAAUGGAUUGUUGCCUUAACAACCUGCUGUCUGCCACAGAAAUCUCGCUCGCCUGCCUGCCCCACCUUGUAGUUUUAGAGUAUAAACUGAGAAUGCAGACUGGACCUGGAACCGAGGCCUCCCAGGAGCUGUCCUGGCUCCGUUCUACCAGUGACAUCUCCUCUCUUCCACGCCCCCUUAGGUUUUCUAUUGCUGUGACCAAAGCCAUGACCACAAAGCAAGUUAGGUAGGACAGGGUUUAUUUGGCUUACGCUUCCAUAUUGCUGUUCACAUUGAAGGAAGUCAGGACAAGGAUCCUGGAGGCAGAGGCUGAUGCAGAGGCCA